rnacentral:rRNA from 1 species
CUACGGGACGCAGCAGUGGGGAAUAUUGGACAAUGGGGGAAACCCUGAUCCAGCAAUGCCGCGUGUGUGAAGAAGGCCUGCGGGUUGUAAAGCACUUUCGGUUGGGAGGACUGCUUCUAGCACUAAUAUUGUUGGAAGUUGACGUUACCUUCAGAAGAAGCACCGGCUAACUCCGUGCCAGCAGCCGCGGUAAUACGGAGGUGCAAACGUUAAUCGGAAUUACUGGGCGUAAAGCGCGCGUAGGCGGCUAGAUCAGUCGGGUGUGAAAGCCCCGGGCUUAACCUGGGAACUGCAUCCGAUACUGUCUAGCUUGAGUACAGGAGAGGAGAGUGGAAUUCCACAUGUAGCGGUGAAAUGCGUAGAUAUGUGGAGGAACACCAAUGGCGAAGGCAGCUCUCUGGCCUGAUACUGACGCUGAGGUGCGAAAGCGUGGGGAGCAAACAGGAUUAGAUACCCCUGUAGUC